GGCUAAGGAGAAAUUUAUAUCUAUAUACUCUUCUAAAGCUAAACUCCAUUAGAUGUUUUAUCUCUUCAUACAGGUGUCCAUAUCAUCAUUAUCCUCCACUAAGUAUCCCACUAACUUGCAAUCCUUUCAUGCAAGCUAUCUGUGUCAUCCUUUAUUAAUACAAAAAAAUAUCCAUCUCAUCUCUAUUAUAUGCAAUACUUUUAGUCUUUAAUGUAUUAACAUAAAGUCAUCUACAUAUGCUGUUUGUUUCAUCACCUAUUAUUCUAUAAUAAGAUCAAAUAUUCUAUUGAUGUUUCUUUUAUUAGCUUACUAAUUUUUUUUGUAAAUUUGAUACAAUAAAAUAACAUGCAAGUGAAAUUCAUAUAUCUACACAAUAUAUAGAAUACCAUAUAGUAAUACUAUAUAUGAAACCGAUUUAUUUUUAGAAAAAUCCUACGACAAUGCGCGAGACAUGCUUCUAGUAAAUAUGGUUGUCAACUCUUGUAACCGUCCAUUAGUAUAGAAGGAAUAAGUUUGGUUGGGGGUAAGGCAUAUGUUGGGACCCUAUUUGAGUGUUUACUAUCCAAUUACAACGCUUAUGAAUUUGAUUGAGAAUGUUUUGUAACCCUAUAGACUCUUGUAAAUAUAAGCUCUACCAGUGAAAAGAAAAAAAAAACCUUCACCUCCAGGAUAAAAGCGGGGAGGAGGAAUGUGGAGAGAACCCCCUUCAAGCAUGUGUCCCUCUCGCUCUCUCCACUCCACCCUCUCAGAUGUUUGGUCAUAGAUCAACAAGCAUGGUCUCUCACUGACGUGGAGCCAUGCCAUCACUACGCCACCUAGGAUUUUUAGGGGCAGCUCAAGACCAUUUGUAGCAACGAAUUGACCAGCCAGCCACCCCUAUCAAACUGUUGCUACAAAUGGUUGGUUUGUAGAGAUAAUUGACCAGCCGUCUCUACAAAUUCGAUUUGUAGGUGUCAGUUGAUUUGUAUCUAUUUUUUGGAAAUCACAAAAUCAGGCAAAAAAUAGCAAAAAAAAAUUGUUAAUCAGUA
rnacentral:lncRNA from 1 species